rnacentral:rRNA from 1 species
UACGAAGGGGGCUAGCGUUGUUCGGAUUAACUGGGCGUAAAGCGCGCGUAGGCGGGUUUUUUAAGUCAGGGGUGAAAUCCCAAGGCUCAACCUUGGAACUGCCUUUGAUACUGGAAAUCUUGAGUCCGGGAGAGGUGAGUGGAACUGCGAGUGUAGAGGUGAAAUUCGUAGAUAUUCGCAAGAACACCAGUGGCGAAGGCGGCUCACUGGCCCGGUACUGACGCUGAGGUGCGAAAAGCGUGGGGAGCAAACAGG